rnacentral:lncRNA from 1 species
UGCCGGGGCAGCUCAUAUGGGAGAUCGUGAAGAAAAACAACUCCUUUUUGGUGAAGGAGUUCGGAAAUGGAACUGCUAGCGUGAAGUUCAGCAAGGAGCCCAACAAUCUCUACAACAUCCACUCCUUCAAGCACUCAGGUUGGCAUCUCUUUGAUCCUCUAUAUCUCACCUCUCCGUGUGUGUUUGCGUUUUUAUGUGAAGUUUUAAUCAUUUGGGGAUUUUUCAUAUUUUGAGUAUGUGAUUCGGUGGAUUUUAAAUGUGAUUUCAUAUUUAGUUAUUCUGCAAUCUGAAGAAUUUUAUUCUCUUUCAUAAAAUUUCUUCCCUCGAUGCAGCUGUUUUAGGAAUAGAAAGCUUGCAAUGAUUUGGAACUUCAACUGUUUCAAUAGUAACUAGUAGAGGAUCUUGGUGGUGGCAGUACAUUUUGCCAAUAGUUUGUGGUGAUUCUAUUUGUUUUGCAAGUAAAAGUGACCUUAAACGAACUAUGCUCACAAUGAGACUUUGCCUGUUGUUUUGAGUAAUUUAGAAUUCUUGUUUCAGUUUCACUUGAGAUUGAUUUUCAUUGCAUGGUUUGUGUUUAAAUAUAUUGCUUAUUGUUAUUAUGAAUAGGAUUGGCAAACAAGAAAACUGUGACCAUUCAACCUGGAAAGGAUCAGACCGUGGUCCUUGCAACCACAAAGACAAAGAAGCAGAACAAGCCCUCCAGCCUGCUCAACAAGUCUGUCAUGAAGAAGGAGUUUCACCGUAUGGCCAAGGCUGUUUCAAAC